rnacentral:pre_miRNA from 1 species
CAUAUACUCCCUCCGUCCGGAAAUACUUGUCGGAGAAAUGGAUAUAUCUAGAUGUAUUUUAGUUCUAGAUACAUCCAUUUUUAUUCAUUUCCACGACAAAUAAUUCCGGACGAAGAGAGUAUGAC